rnacentral:rRNA from 1 species
UACGAGGGGGGGCGAGCGUUGUUCGGAAUUAUUGGGCGUAAAGGGCGCGUAGGCGGUGCGGUAAGUCACCUGUGAAACCCCCCGGGCUCAACUCGGGGCCUGCAGGCGAAACUGCCGUGCUGGAGUGCGGAAGAGGUGAGUGGAAUUCCCGGUGUAGCGGUGAAAUGCAUAGAUAUCUACCAGAACGCCGAUAGCGAAGGCAGCUCGCUGGGGACGUACCGACGCUGGAGGCACGAUAGCGUGGGGAGCAAACAGG